rnacentral:rRNA from 1 species
UGGGGAAUAUUGGACAAUGGGCGAAAGCCUGAUCCAGCCAUGCCGCGUGUGUGAAGAAGGUCUUCGGAUUGUAAAGCACUUUAAGUUGGGAGGAAGGGCAGUAAGCGAAUACCUUGCUGUUUUGACGUUACCGACAGAAUAAGCACCGGCUAACUCUGUGCCAGCAGCCGCGGUAAUACAGAGGGUGCAAGCGUUAAUCGGAAUUACUGGGCGUAAAGCGCGCGUAGGUGGUUCGUUAAGUUGAAUGUGAAAGCCCCGGGCUCAACCUGGGAACUGCAUCCAAAACUGGCGAGCUAGAGUAGGGCAGAGGGUGGUGGAAUUUCCUGUGUAGCGGAGAAAUGCGUAGAUAUAGGAAGGAACACCAGUGGCGAAGGCGAGCACCUGGGCUCAUACUGACACUGAGGUGCGAAAGCGUGGGGAGCAAACAGG